CUCAAGAUGAGAUUUCCCAAUUAGUAAGACCCCUUGAAGACGACGAGGUAGAUAGGUUGGAGGUGGAAGUGCAGCAAUGCAUGGAGCUGACCAAUACUAAUCGGUCGAGGGCUUAUCCUAC
rnacentral:rRNA from 1 species